rnacentral:rRNA from 1 species
UACGAAGGGGGCUAGCGUUGCUCGGAAUCACUGGGCGUAAAGGGUGCGUAGGCGGGUCUUUAAGUCAGGGGUGAAAUCCUGGAGCUCAACUCCAGAACUGCCUUUGAUACUGAAGAUCUUGAGUUCGGGAGAGGUGAGUGGAACUGCGAGUGUAGAGGUGAAAUUCGUAGAUAUUCGCAAAGAACACCAGUGGCGAAGGCGGCUCACUGGCCCGAUACCUGACGCUGAGGCGCGAAAGCGUGGGGAGCCAAACGGGG